rnacentral:rRNA from 1 species
UGGGGAAUAUUGGACAAUGGGCGAAAGCCUGAUCCAGCCAUGCCGCGUGUGUGAAGAAGGUCUUCGGAUUGUAAAGCACUUUAAGUUGGGAGGAAGGGCAGUUACCUAAUACGUGAUUGUUUUGACGUUACCGACAGAAUAAGCACCGGCUAACUCUGUGCCAGCAGCCGCGGUAAUACAGAGGGUGCAAGCGUUAAUCGGAAUUACUGGGCGUAAAGCGCGCGUAGGUGGUUAGUUAAGUUGGAUGUGAAAUCCCCGGGCUCAACCUGGGAACUGCAUUCAAAACUGACUGACUAGAGUAUGGUGGAGGGUGGUGGAAUUUCCUGUGUAGCGGUGAAAUGCGUAGAUAUAGGAAGGAACACCAGUGGCGAAGGCGACCACCUGGACUGAUACUGACACUGAGGUGCGAAAGCGUGGGGAGCAAACAGGAUUAGAUACCCCCGUAGUCCCUGAGCGGGCUGGCAAGGCGCAU